CUUCCCAACACAGGGACUCGAACCCGAGACUUUUAGAGUAGAAGUCUAAAGCACUAUCCACUGCGCUACUGAGAC
rnacentral:tRNA from 1 species